rnacentral:rRNA from 1 species
AUACGUAGGGGGCGAGCGUUGUCCGGAAUGACUGGGCGUAAAGGGCGUGUAGGCGGCCGACUAAGUCUGGAGUGAAAGUCCUGCUUUCAAGGUGGGAAUUGCUUUGGAUACUGGUUGGCUUGAGUGCGGAAGAGGUAAGUGGAAUUCCCAGUGUAGCGGUGAAAUGCGUAGAGAUUGGGAGGAACACCAGUGGCGAAGGCGACUUACUGGGCCGUAACUGACGCUGAGGCGCGAAAGCGUGGGGAGCGAACAGGAUUAGAUACCCUGGUAGUCCACGCGGUAAACGAUGAAUGUUAGGUGUUGCGGGUAUCGACCCCUGCAGUGCCGGAGUAAACACAAUAAACAUUCCGCCUGGGGAGUACGGCCGCAAGGUUGAAACUCAAAUGAAUUGACGGGG